rnacentral:rRNA from 1 species
UACGUAGGGGGCAAGCGUUGUCCGGAUUUAUUGGGCGUAAAGAGCUCGUAGGCGGUUGGGCAAGUCACGUGUGAAAUCUCCACGCUCAACGUGGAGGCGCCACGUGAGAUUGCCCUGACUCGAGUCCGGUAGGGGAGCGUGGAAUUCCCGGUGUAGCGGUGAAAUGCGCAGAGAUCGGGAGGAACACCCGUAGCGAAGGCGGCGCUCUGGGCCGGUACUGACGCUGAGGAGCGAAAGCGUGGGGAGCAAACAGG